rnacentral:rRNA from 1 species
CUACCACGCGAGUGGAUGCCAAUCCCUAAAACCCUCUCAGUUCGGACUGGAGUCUGCAACCCGACUCCACGAAGCUGGAUUCGCUAGUAAUCGCGCAUCAGCCACGGCGCGGUGAAUACGUUCCCGGGCCUUGUACACACCGCCCGUCAAGCCAUGGGAGCCGGGGGUACCUGAAGUGCGUAACCGCGAGGAUCGCCCUAGGGUAAAACUGGUGACUGGGGCUAAGUCGUAACAAGGUACC